rnacentral:rRNA from 1 species
AUUGAACGCUGGCGGCAGGCUUAACACAUGCAAGUCGAGCGGAGAUGAGGUGCUUGCACCUUAUCUUAGCGGCGGACGGGUGAGUAAUGCUUAGGAAUCUGCCUAUUAGUGGGGGACAACAUUCCGAAAGGAAUGCUAAUACCGCAUACGCACUACGGGGGAAAGCAGGGGAUCUUCGGACCUUGCGCUAAUAGAUGAGCAUAAGUCGGAUUAGCUAGUUGGUGGGGUAAAGGCCUACCAAGGCGACGAUCUGUAGCGGGUCUGAGAGGAUGAUCCGCCACACUGGGACUGAGACACGGCCCAGACUCCUACGGGAGGCAGCAGUGGGGAAUAUUGGACAAUGGGCGGAAGCCUGAUCCAGCCAUGCCGCGUGUGUGAAGAAGGCCUUUUGGUUGUAAAGCACUUUAAGCGAGGAGGAGGCUACCUGGAUUAAUACUCUAGGAUAGUGGACGUUACUCGCAGAAUAAGCACCGGCUAACUCUGUGCCAGCCGCCGCCGUAA